UCAAGAGAGGCAGUAAGCAUGCAGGUC
rnacentral:piRNA from 1 species